rnacentral:rRNA from 1 species
CGCGUAGGCGGGCUGCCAAGUCCGGGGUGAAAGCCCUCCGCUCAACGGAGGAAUGGCCUUGGAUACUGGCGAUCUGGAGGAAGGUAGGGGCGUGCGGAACUCUCGGUGGAGCGGUGAAAUGCGUAGAUAUCGGGAGGAACGCCGGUGGCGAAAGCGGCACGCUGGACCUUUUCUGACGCUGAGGCGCGAAAGCCAGGGGAGCAAACG